UACGUAGGUGACCAGCGUUGUCCGGAUUUACUGGGCGUAAAGAGCGCGCAGGCGGUCGUUCAAGUCGAGUGUGAAAGCCCCCGGCUCAACUGGGGAGGGUCACUCGAUACUGAUCGACUUGAAGGCAGGAGAGGGAAGCGGAAUUCCCGGUGUAGUGGUGAAAUGCGUAGAUACUGGGAGGAACACCAGUGGCGAAGGCGGCUACCUGGACCGGUUCUGACGCUGAGGCGCGAAAGCGUGGGUAGCAAACAGG
rnacentral:rRNA from 1 species